rnacentral:rRNA from 1 species
CACUAAAUGAAAAUAAAUUUAGCCUUUCCUGCUCAAUGAACUUUAAAUAGCCGCAGAACUCUGUGCUAAGGUAGCAUAAUCAAUUGCCUUUUAAUUGAAGGAUAGAAUGAAAGGAAAUACGAUUUAAAAUUGUUUCAUUAAAAUGUAUUUAACUUAAUUCAAAGGUAAAAAAGCCUUUAUAAAACAGAAAGACAACAAGACCCUAAUGAACUUUACAAAGUUUAACUGGGGCGGUUAUUAAAUAAAACCUUCAACUCACACAAAACAGCCUGUAUAAUAGAGUAAACAAGUUACCAUAGGGAUAACAGUAUAAUUUUAAACAAAAGCUCAAAUUAAAUUUAAAGAUUAUAACCUCGAUGUUGACUAAAAUUUCUACCUCAAGCAAAAUUGAAGAAAGAAAGUCUGUUCGACUUUUAAAUUUUUACA